rnacentral:rRNA from 1 species
CGUGAAAUUGUUGAAAGGGAAGCGUUUAUGACCAGACUUGGGCUUGGUUAAUCAUCUGGGGUUCUCCCCAGUGCACUUUUCCAGUCCAGGCCAGCAUCAGUUUUCCCCGGGGGAUAGAGGCGGCGGGAAUGUGGCUCUCUUCGGGGAGUGUUAUAGCCCACCGUGUAAUACCCUGGGGGGGACUGAGGUUCGCGCAUCUGCAAGGAUGCUGGCGUAAUGGUCAUCAACGACCCGUCUUGAAACAC